GCCUGGGUGGCUCAGUGGGUUAAGCAUCCGACUUCAGCUCAGGUCAUGAUCUCACGGUUCGUGAGUUCAAGUCCCACGUUAGGCU
rnacentral:tRNA from 1 species